UUCUCACGCUCUCCUCUUUCUCUUCCAAAACGGUUUCUCCUCUUCUUUCAAAACCGGCACAUUCUCUUCACUCACCAUUCUCUUCAAUGCAUGGUUACAUUACAUUGAUUGUUUGUCUUCCCAUUUUCAAAAUGAUUUCUAUCUUCAAUUACCAUUCUCUUCAUCUCCAUUAAACUUUCGCAACCGCCCACAUCCACCUCUGCCUACUCCGCUCUAGAUCGAAACCUGCGUCGCCUGCAACUGCUGAUUUUGCCGUCGUAUCCCCAACACCGACGACUACACCACCGCCGCGCAUCUACGAUUGAAACAUGGGCUUAAUUAGAGGCUAAAAUCAGAAACAAAUGGAGGAUAGCAACAGACCGAAUUCCCAUCACAAGGGUCUCCGACCAAAAUCACCUAAGGGUCUUCGAACCGGUUAAAUCGGCACUGCUGAUAAAAAGAUAAGUGUAUUUACUUACAACUGGUACCAUUACAUCAAUUCUAUUAUGUAAUUGUUAAAACUGUUCUUUCAUAAACUUAAUGAAUCUCUGUCUUGAUGUAAAUUCAGUGGUAAAUCAAAGAAUGUUAAUCUUAUUGCCCCACUCCGAAGCCAACGUUCAAUUCAUCCAAUAGAAGAAUCAACAUAAUUCAGCAGUGAAGUCACAAUUGAAUACAAAUUGAUUUGGCUAUGUUUAAUGGAGAAAUCCUGUGUCAGAUUCUUUGUUUACCGGGCGUCUUAACAUCGGACGUGGUUCUCAUACUAAUAUAUCUGGUGCAAAUUCAGAACAUGGAUCACCCCCUCUCAAUCUUGAAAUCCCCCUCAUGACUUAUGGGAAAGAGAAAGUAUGUAAUCGCUAUUCGAGUGGGUAAAUCAACGAUUUGGUUACUUCAAACGGUAGGACAGGGAAUCCAUCCAUCAAUUUGGGAAUUUCUACUCAGUUAUAUGAUGUCAAGAGUAAAUUUGAGGAAAGAGAGGAGAUAAGGCAGCGUAGAAGGUUGAAGCUGUUUUGCUGCUUUUGGGAUACCCGUGAUUUGGUGGGUCGACAUGAUUUAUGUGAAAGGGGAAAAGGUGUGGUGAUGUUGGCUCACGCGAAAGGGGAAGAUUCGUCGGCGGUGGUUUUGAUGCAAGCUUGGCAACGGUUGUUGAUUUUGGUCUUUCGAUGUUAUUGCUGAAUAUCUUCAAAAAAUUGAUCAAAAGUUGGAUGGUGCAAAGAGGGAUUGGCUUGCUAUUUAUGAUGAAUGUGCCUCUGUCUUAUAUCAAGUGAUGAAUGGUGCAAAGUGGCUCACAUUUAGUUCUUUAACACCGGGAAUGAUUUGUUGGCUCAGUGCUACUGUUUGAUCAUGUUGUUAUAUUCUUGAUAGUCCAUCCUUAUAUUCUCAAAUUUGGUGUUGAUUCUGCAGCUACUCCUACAACAUUAGAGGAGGCCAAUGCUACUGAAUGCAUAAUAAUAUAUUUAAGACUUUAAAUGUUCAAUCCAUUAUGGACAUCACGAGAAAGCUGAAGAGCUGAUUAAAUCACCUGGCAAGCAGGAAUCUCAAUCUGAAAAUGAGUGUGACGAAUCAGAUGUUGUGGAGCACGAUGAUUCUAUCCAGCCUUCUGAAUUUGGAGAGCUGCCUUUUUGUUCUUAUAAGUGUUGUAAAUGAUUUGAGAUCGAAUUGAUAAUCUACAAAAUAAUGAC